GAUGUCGCGCAGUGGUAGUGCGGCUGCCUGCGACGCAAAAAGUCCCGGGUUUAAUUCCCGGUGGGUCA